rnacentral:rRNA from 1 species
UGCAAGUCGAACGAAGUAGCAAUACUUAGUGGCAGACGGGUGAGUAACAUGUAGGUAUCUUCCCUAUGGUGAGGAAUAACACGAGGAAACUUGUGCUAAUACCUCAUAAGUCUUUACGGAGAAAGCUUUAUGCGCCAUUGGAUGAGCCUGCACUUGAUUAGUUUGUUGGUGGGGUAAUGGCCUACCAAGACAAUGAUCAAUAGCUGAUUUGAGAGGAUGAUCAGCCACAUUGGGACUGAGACACGGCCCAAACUCCUACGGGAGGCAGCAGUAGGGAAUCUUGCACAAUGGGGGAAACCCUGAUGCAGCGAUGCCGCGUGAGUGAAGAAGGCCUUUGGGUUGUAAAGCUCUUUCGUCGGGGAAGAAAAUGACUGUACCCGAAUAAGAAGGUCCGGCUAACUUCGUGCCAGCAGCCGCGGUAAUACGAAGGGACCUAGCGUAGUUCGGAAUUACUGGGCUUAAAGAGUUCGUAGGUGGUUAAAAAAGUUGGUGGUGAAAUCCCAGAGCUUAACUCUGGAACUGCCAUCAAAACUUUUUAGCUAGAGUAUGAUAGAGGAAAGCAGAAUUUCUAGUGUAGAGGUGAAAUUCGUAGAUAUUAGAAAGAAUACCAAUUGCGAAGGCAGCUUUCUGGAUCAUUACUGACACUGAGGAACGAAAGCAUGGGUAGCGAAGAGGAUUAGAUACCCUCGUAGUCCAUGCCGUAAACGAUGUGUGUUAGACGUUGGAAAUUUAUUUUCAGUGUCGCAGCGAAAGCAAUAAACACACCGCCUGGGGAGUACGACCGCAAGGUUAAAACUCAAAUGAAUUGACGGGGACCCGCACAAGUAGUGGAGCAUGUGGUUUAAUUCGAAGAUACGCGCAGAACCUUACCGACACUUGACAUGUUCGUCGCGACUUUAAGAGAUUAAAGUUUUCGGUUCGGCCGGACGAAACAC